UACAGGGGGUGCAAACGUUGCUCGGAAUUAUUGGGCGUAGAGCGCGCGUAGGCGGCCGCUUAAGUCGGAUGUGAAAGCCCCUGGCUCAACUGGGGAAGUGCACCCGAAACUGAGUGGCUUGAGUACUAAAGAGGGUCGCGGAAUUCCCGGUGUAGAGGUGAAAUUCGUAGAUAUCGGGAGGAACACCGGUGGCGAAGGCGGCGACCUGGGUAGAUACUGACGCUGAGGCGCGAAAGCGUGGGGAGCAAACAGG
rnacentral:rRNA from 1 species